CCUACGGGAGGCAGCAGUGGGGAAUAUUGCGCAAUGGGCGAAAGCCUGACGCAGCGACGCCGCGUGAGGGAUGAAGGUCUUCGGAUCGUAAACCUCUGUCAGCAGGGAAGAACGGUCACUGUGCUAAUCAGCAGUGAAUUGACGGUAUCUGCAAAGGAAGCACCGGCUAACUCCGUGCCAGCAGCCGCGGUAAUACGGAGGGUGCGAGCGUUAAUCGGAAUUACUGGGCGUAAAGCGCUCGUAGGCGGUAUGUCAAGUGAAGGGUGAAAUCCCCGCGCUAAACGGGUAUAUGCACUGGAAACUGGCGGGCUAGAGAGCAGGAGAGGGCGGUGGAACUCGAGGUGUAGCGGUAAAAUGCGUAGAUAUAUGGAAGAACACCAGUGGCGAAGGCGGCCGCCUGGCCUGUUACUGACGCUGAGGCACGAAAGCGUGGGGAGCAAAUAGGAUUAGAUACCCCUGUAGUC
rnacentral:rRNA from 1 species